rnacentral:tRNA from 1 species
GCCGGGGUGCUCCUGGGAGAGCAGCCAGACUCCAAACCUGGCGCACAGUGUUCGAAUCACUGCACCGGCGCCA